AUUGAACGCUGGCGGCAUGCUUUACACAUGCAAGUCGAACGGCAGCGCGGGCUUCGGCCUGGCGGCGAGUGGCGUACGGGUGAGUAAUACAUCGGAACGUGCCCAGUAGUGGGGGAUAGCUCGGCGAAAGCCGGAUUAAUACCGCAUACGACCUGAGGGUGAAAGCGGGGGAUCUUCGGACCUCGCGCUAUUGGAGCGGCCGAUGGCAGAUUAGCUAGUUGGUGGGGUAAAGGCCUACCAAGGCGACGAUCUGUAGCUGGUCUGAGAGGACGACCAGCCACACUGGGACUGAGACACGGCCCAGACUCCUACGGGAGGCAGCAGUGGGGAAUUUUGGACAAUGGGCGAAAGCCUGAUCCAGCAAUGCCGCGUGUGUGAUGAAGGCCUUCGGGUUGUAAAGCACUUUUGGCGGGAACGAAAAGGACUGUGCCAAUACCACGGUUCGAUGACGGUACCCGCAGAAUAAGCACCGGCUAACUACGUG
rnacentral:rRNA from 1 species